rnacentral:rRNA from 1 species
AUGAACGCUAGCUACAGGCUUAACACAUGCAAGUCGAGGGGCAGCAUUUUAGUUUGCUUGCAAACUAAAGAUGGCGACCGGCGCACGGGUGAGUAACACGUAUCCAACCUGCCGAUAACUCGGGGAUAGCCUUUCGAAAGAAAGAUUAAUAUCCGAUAGUAUAUUAAAACCGCAUGGUUUUACUAUUAAAGAAUUUCGGUUAUCGAUGGGGAUGCGUUCCAUUAGUUUGUUGGCGGGGUAACGGCCCACCAAGACUACGAUGGAUAGGGGUUCUGAGAGGAAGGUCCCCCACAUUGGAACUGAGACACGGUCCAAACUCCUACGGGAGGCAGCAGUGAGGAAUAUUGGUCAAUGGACGAGAGUCUGAACCAGCCAAGUAGCGUGAAGGAUGACUGCCCUAUGGGUUGUAAACUUCUUUUAUAUGGGAAUAAAGUAUUCCACGUGUGGAAUUUUGUAUGUACCAUAUGAAUAAGGAUCGGCUAACUCCGUGCCAGCAGCCGCGGUAAUACGGAGGAUCCGAGCGUUAUCCGGAUUUAGUGGGUUUAAAGGGAGCGUAGGUGGAUUGUUAAGUCAGUUGUGAAAGUUUGCGGCUCAACCGUAAAAUUGCAGUUGAAACUGGCAGUCUUGAGUACAGUAGAGGUGGGCGGAAUUCGUGGUGUAGCGGUGAAAUGCUUAGAUAUCACGAAGAACUCCGAUUGCGAAGGCAGCUCACUAGACUGCAACUGACACUGAUGCUCGAAAGUGUGGGUAUCAAACAGGAUUAGAUACCCUGGUAGUCCACACAGUAAACGAUGAAUACUCGCUGUUUGCGAUAUACAGUAAGCGGCCAAGCGAAAGCAUUAAGUAUUCCACCUGGGGAGUACGCCGGCAACGGUGAAACUCAAAGGAAUUGACGGGGGCCCGCACAAGCGGAGGAACAUGUGGUUUAAUUCGAUGAUACGCGAGGAACCUUACCCGGGCUUAAAUUGCAUUUGAAUAAUCUGGAAACAGGUUAGCCGCAAGGCAAAUGUGAAGGUGCUGCAUGGUUGUCGUCAGCUCGUGCCGUGAGGUGUCGGCUUAAGUGCCAUAACGAGCGCAACCCUUAUCUUUAGUUACUAACAGGUCAUGCUGAGGACUCUAGAGAGACUGCCGUCGUAAGAUGUGAGGAAGGUGGGGAUGACGUCAAAUCAGCACGGCCCUUACGUCCGGGGCUACACACGUGUUACAAUGGGGGGUACAGAAGGCAGCUACCUGGCGACAGGAUGCUAAUCCCAAAAACCUCUCUCAGUUCGGAUCGAAGUCUGCAACCCGACUUCGUGAAGCUGGAUUCGCUAGUAAUCGCGCAUCAGCCAUGGCGCGGUGAAUACGUUCCCGGGCCUUGUACACACCGCCCGUCAAGCCAUGAAAGCCGGGGGUACCUGAAGUACGUAACCGCAAGGAGCGUCCUAGGGUAAAACUGGUAAUUGGGGCU